CCAAAAGGGGCAGUGAAUAGUUUAUUUUGCAAGAAUAAAGAUGAUGAUUUUGACAAGCAUGCAAUUGUAUGUGCAGAAGCUAAUGCAAUUAUUAUGAGUUCUGAGGAAGACCUGCGUGAUGCUGAACUCAUCACUACAUGUGAACCCUGCCAGGACUGUCUGAAACUGAUCCAAGCAAAGAAUAUAGCAAAAGUCAUUUGGCCUGUGCGAGACAGAAAUCAAUCCAGAGGAUUAACUGAAGAUCCUUCAGAGGGAGAGUCUGUGGCUUCAGCCGAUGGUGAACAAGCAUAAAGCUCCACAACAUCAACAUGAGCUUUAGGAUCCAACGCCCCCAGGCUCCCCAGUACCUUCAGUGGUGUUGGGAUAAUCACCUUGCCAUGGCAGUCACUCUGCUUGUGCCCACUCCCUUCCAGAAACACACCUCAUACCCAUCCCCCCACCAAAUCUUUUCUUACCAUUGCUUCUGCUGUGCUCUACAGGGGUUUGCUUCUGUCUGUGGCUUAAGGGUGGAAAAGCAUUUGCUUUCGAUGUACCUCUGAGGGGUAGUCAUGUGUGACUGUGCAGUGUCUGUGGCCAUGAAGGCAGUGGUUGUUUUCUGCAGUCCUCAUUCCCUCUGCAGGGUUUCUUCUCUUGAACUGGGGUGUUUGAAUGAGGAUUUCUCCUUUUCCUUCAUUGCAGUUUCCCACCCUCACUCAAAUUUAUUUUAUUUCAUUCAAUCAUCCUAUUUUUCAAUAUAGCUGUAUUAUUUUUUUCUUGUCAUCUUUUUCAGCUGAAAAGCAACUAGUUCCUUGUUUCCUUGUCUCUCUCUGCCCAGGGGUAUUUGGUUCUUGUGUGUCUUUUACCCUCUCCCCUUUUUCUCUGGUGUAAUGUAUAGUUUAAUUUUGUUUCAUAUUCAUGGGCCUCUUUACAUGUCCUCUAAUAGGUUCAUGGCUGUUUUUAAUUGGUCUUUGUACCAUAUUGAUCAUGUUUUAGACUUAAAUUUGAUUUCCAUCCUCGAAACACCAGACCAAUUACUGUGGAAUGUUUUCAUAUUUUUCCAGGAUAAAUCAUUUUGCUCUAAAUGAACCAGGGGUUUGCAGACUGUGGUGCUGACAGCUGCUUUUGUGCUUCUGUUUUGAUUCCCUCAACUGUAGCUUCAAUACUGGAGUUUUUUAGGAUGACCCCAAACACAGAAUCAGCUAUGAAAAUCCUCUUGAUUUUUAAAAUAUCAUUGUAAUAAUGCUAUUUUUUGUGACUUGUUAGCUUUCAGUAACUAUUCCUUUCACACAGCCACUUUAGAGUGAGAUCAUGACAGUAUUUUGCAUGGGAUUAAAUUGGAAGU